rnacentral:rRNA from 1 species
AUGCACGCUGGCGGCGUGCCUAAUACAUGCCAGUCGAGCGAACAGACGAGGAGCUUGCUCCUCUGACGUUAGCGGCGGACGGGUGAGUAACACGUGGAUAACCUACCUAUAAGACUGGGAUAACUUCGGGAAACCGGAGCUAAUACCGGAUAAUAUAUUGAACCGCAUGGUUCAAUAGUGAAAGACGGUUUUGCUGUCACUUAUAGAUGGAUCCGCGCCGCAUUAGCUAGUUGGUAAGGUAACGGCUUACCAAGGCAACGAUGCGUAGCCGACCUGAGAGGGUGAUCGGGCACACUGGAACUGAGAAACGGUCCAGACUCCUAAGGGAGGGAGCAGUAGGGAAUCUUCCGCAAAGGGCGGAAGCCUGACGGGGCAACGCCGCGUGAGUGAUGAAGGUCUUCGGAUCGUAAAACUCUGUUAUUAGGGAAGAACAAAUGUGUAAGUAACUAUGCACGUCUUGACGGUACCUAAUCAGAAAGCCACGGCUAACUACGUG